rnacentral:rRNA from 1 species
GAGGAAUAUUGGUCAAUGGGCGCAAGCCUGAACCAGCCAUGCCGCGUGCAGGAUGACGCAUCUAUGGUGUGUAAACUGCUUUUGUACAGGAAGAAACAGUGCUACGUGUAGCACCUUGACGGUACUGUAAGAAUAAGGAUCGGCUAACUCCGUGCCAGCAGCCGCGGUAAUACGGAGGAUCCAAGCGUUAUCCGGAAUCAUUGGGUUUAAAGGGUCCGUAGGCGGUUUUAUAAGUCAGUGGUGAAAUCCGGUAGCUCAACUAUCGAACGGCCAUUGAUACUGUAGAACUUGAAUUAUUGUGAAGUAACUAGAAUAUGUAGUGUAGCGGUGAAAUGCUUAGAUAUUACAUGGAAUACCCAUUGCGAAGGCAGGUUACUAACAAUAUAUUGACGCUGAUGGACGAAAGCGUGGGGAGCGAAC